GAAUUACAAGAAUGUUUAUUUAUGUGUUUUGAAUUAAUUAUGUGAGUCAUUUGAAUAAGAAGUUCUAAGGAAGAAAAUGGUUUGAAUAUGUUUGUUAGCUAAGUGGUUAGGCGUUUAUGUGUUUAUUAUGCUAAGCGCAAGUUCGAUUUAACAUGGUUAUAUUAUUGGAGUUGAAUGAUUUGUCAUUUAUGGUAUUGCAUGGUCAAGUAUAGGAACGUCAGAAUCUUAAUAUGGUUAUCGGUCGAGUAGACACGGGAAUACGAGGGGCCAGUAUUCCAACUACAGUACUAUAGACUAGAGUGGGUAGCUCCCCUCAAAACAGGCUCAGAAUAUCGACGUCUAUUACCGAUAAUCAUGUUAUGAAUCUGAUAGGGAUACCGUCACAUUAUAGUAAUUGCAUUGACAUAAGUAUGAGUAUGUUUAUUUAUACGUUUUGAAUUGUUUAUAUGAUUGGUCAUUUAUGAUAUUGCAUGGUCAGUAUAGGAAGUCAGAAUCUUAAAUGGCUAUCGGUCGAGUAGACACGGAAAUACGGAGGGGCCGGUAUUCCAACUACGGUACUAUAGACUAUAGAGUGGAUAGCUUCCAUUAAUAAACGGGCUCAGAAUAUCGACGUCUAUUACCGAUAACCAUGUUAUGAAUCUGAUAGGUAUCCCGUCAUAUUGCAUUUAAGUGUUAUAUUUGUUAAUACAGACUAUAGGGACUUGAUGUCUAUAUGUACUACAGCUAAUUGGUCGUUGCAUCCCCAUGUUAAUAUAACAUUUUGUUUUCGUGAGUACACCUUGUGAGUAUACGUUAAGCAGGGGAAACUCUUCGCCCGUGUCAAGGUUGAGGUUCUCGAAGCGGUUAUGGAAACUGGUGGAGCGGAGUUUGAGGAAUCACGAGUUUUUAUAUCAACCGACUAUUUUCAAAGAUUAUAUUAGUCACUUUCUUUUUAAGUGUUUUAACUUGAGAAGUUUAUAGUUGUAUUUAUAAUGUACUCUGAUUUAAGAAUCUAGUCUAUUAAACCGG
rnacentral:lncRNA from 1 species